UACGUAGGGGGCAAGCGUUGUCCGGAAUUAUUGGGCGUAAAGAGCGUGUAGGCGGUCCGGUAAGUCCGCUGUGAAAGUCGGGGGCUCAACCCUCGAAUGCCGGUGGAUACUGUCGGGCUAGAGUGCGGAAGAGGCGAGUGGAAUUCCUGGUGUAGCGGUGAGAUGCGCAGAUAUCAGGAGGAACACCAAUUGCGAAGGCAGCUCGCUGGGACGUUACUGACGCUGAGACGCGAAAGCGUGGGGAGCAAACAGG
rnacentral:rRNA from 1 species